UCUCAUGGAUCCUAAGUUGAGG
rnacentral:misc_RNA from 1 species